UACAGAGGUCCCAAGCGUUGUUCGGAUUCACUGGGCGUAAAGGGUGCGUAGGUGGUGAGGUAAGUCGGAUGUGAAAUCUCCGAGCUCAACUCGGAAAUGGCAUUGGAAACUACCUUGCUCGAGGGUUGGAGGGGGGACUGGAAUGCUUGGUGUAGCAGUGAAAUGCGUAGAUAUCAAGCGGAACACCAGUGGCGAAGGCGAGUCCCUGGAUAACUCCUGACACUGAGGCACGAAAGCUAGGGGAGCAAACAGG
rnacentral:rRNA from 1 species